rnacentral:rRNA from 1 species
UACAGAGGUCUCAAGCGUUGUUCGGAUUCAUUGGGCGUAAAGGGUGUGUAGGUGGCGCGCUAAGUCGGGUGUGAAAUUUCGGAGCUUAACUCCGAAACUGCAUUCGAUACUGGCGUGCUUGAGGACUGGAGAGGAGACUGGAAUUCAUGGUGUAGCAGUGAAAUGCGUAGAGAUCAUGAGGAAGACCAGUGGCGAAGGCGGGUCUCUGGACAUUUCCUGACGCUGAGGCACGAAAGCCAGGGGAGCAAACGGG